UUAGCUAAAAUUGUAGCCUACAUUUGCGUGUUUCGCAUAUCAUUUUGAUGAUAUCUUUUCAUCAGAAUCCUUUUUGAAAAAUGUACGACCGCAAUAACGACCACAAAUGUGCUAACUUUAAAUUAGUUUUAGUUGUAGUCGUUGACCGGCUCUGAGAAACGUCAGCAGCUUAUGCUAAUUU